AGGGAAACCGAGUCUUAACUGGGCGUUAAGUUGCAGGGUAUAGACCCGAAACCCGGUGAUCUAGCCAUGGGCAGGUUGAAGGUUGGGUAACACUAACUGGAGGACCGAACCGACUAAUGUUGAAAAAUUAGCGGAUGACUUGUGGCUGGGGGUGAAAGGCCAAUCAAACCGGGAGAUAGCUGGUUCUCCCCGAAAGCUAUUUAGGUAGCGCCUCGUGAACUCAUCUUCGGGGGUAGAGCACUGUUUCGGCUAGGGGGUCAUCCCGACUUACCAACCCGAUGCAAACUGCGAAUACCGAAGAAUGUUAUCACGGGAGACACACGGCGGGUGCUAACGUCCGUCGUGAAGAGGGAAACAACCCAGACCGCCAGCUAAGGUCCCAAAGUCACAGUUAAGUGGGAAACGAUGUGGGAAGGCUCAGACAGCCAGGAUGUUGGCUUAGAAGCAGCCAUCAUUUAAAGAAAGCGUAAUAGCUCACUGGUCGAGUCGGCCUGCGCGGAAGAUGUAACGGGGCUAAACUGUGCACCGAAGCUGUGGCAGCGACGCUUAUGCGUUGUUGGGUAGGGGAGCGUUCUGUAAGCCUGCGAAGGUGUCCUGUGAGGGAUGCUGGAGGUAUCAGAAGUGCGAAUGCUGACAUAAGUAACGAUAAUGCGGGUGAAAAGCCCGCUCGCCGGAAGACCAAGGGUUCCUGUCCAACGUUAAUCGGGGCAGGGUGAGUCGACCCCUAAGGCGAGGCCGAAAGGCGUAGUCGAUGGGAAACGGGUUAAUAUUCCCGUACUUGGUGUUACUGCGAAGGGGGGACGGAGAAGGCUAUGUUGGCCGGGCGACGGUUGUCCCGGUUUAAGCGUGUAGGCUGGUUUUCCAGGCAAAUCCGGAAAAUCAAG
rnacentral:rRNA from 1 species